GUUUCCAUAGCUUAAUUUGGUAGAGCAAACCUUUUGAAUAAGGUUAUAGGUGUGAGUUCAAUUCUCACUGGGAACA
rnacentral:tRNA from 1 species